AUCAGCCACACUGGGACUGAGACACGGCCCAGACUCCUACGGGAGGCAGCAGUAGGGAAUCUUGCGCAAUGGGCGAAAGCCUGACGCAGCAACGCCGCGUGGGGGAUGAAUGCCUUCGGGUUGUAAACCCCUUUCAGCAGGGACGAAAAUGACGGUACCUGCAGAAGAAGCUCCGGCCAACUACGUGCCAGCAGCCGCGGUAAUACGUAGGGAGCGAGCGUUGUCCGGAAUUAUUGGGCGUAAAGAGCUCGUAGGCGGUUCAGUAAGCCGGGUGUGAAAACUCAAGGCUCAACCUUGAGACGCCACUCGAUACUGCUGUGACUUGAGUCCGGUAGAGGAGUGUGGAAUUCCUGGUGUAGCGGUGAAAUGCGCAGAUAUCAGGAGGAACACCAGCGCCGAAGGCGGCACUCUGGGCCGGUACUGACGCUGAGGAGCGAAAGCAUGGGGAGCAAACAGGAUUAGAUACCCUGGUAGUCCAUGCCGUAAACGUUGGGCACUAGGUAUGGGAUCAUAUCAACGGAUUCCGUGCCGUAGCUAACGCAUUAAGUGCCCCGCCUGGGGAGUACGG
rnacentral:rRNA from 1 species